AGUGGAGCUUCCUUCAUUUCUGAAGACUCCCCCUGAGCUAACUCUGAAGACAAGCCAAUGGAUGAGGGAAUCUUGCCCUGUGCACUUAUUGUAUGGCUUUUCAUCUUGUUUCUGCAGGGGAAACCUAUCCUGCCACUUGUCUCCUUUUCUGCUCCCAGCAGCCAACCAGCCCAGAUUUCUCUGUUCUCUGCUCUUCUCAUCUGCCAUAUGAGGGUUUUGCUAAUCAGCCAGGUGCUGCAAAGUCAGAGAAGGAGAGAGCUGCUCUGCAUAUUUGGCUUGAUAUGAGCAAUGCUGACAUUGAAAAGGAGGCAUCUGCUCUGAGAAGGCGAAGGAGCUCUGCUGGUCUUUCUCUUCAUCCAUGGUACUGCAAUUCAUCCUCACCUACUCGGCUGCAUUUUACUCUGUCCCUCCCUGUGGCUUGCUGUAGUUAUAAGGUGGUUCACGCACCCAUAGGUUGGUAGCACUGUAUGCAGCUUUUGCUACCCUGGGCAGAGAGAGCUGUCCAACCCUAUGGCUGAGCACUCUGCAUACCUGAUCUGGAGGAGCCAGGCUGGCUGAGGUUCCACCCCCCCCAUGGCCAUUUGCUUUGAUUCUCUCCUGCCUUUCCUCUGGAAGCUCCAGCCUUCAUCAGGCCUUUCUUGAUACAGCUGAAGAUAGGAAAAGAGGGAGAUGACACACAGCUGUCCCGUGCCAAUGAGGUUGCCAUCCAUUAUCACCUUGUUCUAGGAUUGCCUUGAAUUUGUUAUCCCCAGGUCAUUUCUUAUGCGUCAAAAUGGAGUUUCCCCCUGUGCCUCGUGCUUUAAUAAACCCUAAGGGCUCCAUCC
rnacentral:lncRNA from 7 species